rnacentral:snRNA from 1 species
AAGUGUAUUCAUUUCUUCUCAGGGCCUUAUUUAAGACCCGAAGAACAAUUUUUGGCGCCCUUUCACUGGAGUGUUAGGGCA